rnacentral:lncRNA from 1 species
UUACUCUCUCAUUGCUGGGGGAGAAACCGACUGGGAGAAGCAGAGAAAAAAAUAAGACAAAAAUGAACGAGAAAAAGGAAAGACUGAAGGAGAAGAAGAAGAAAUGUGUGUUGGCUUUUGAAGAUUGAGGUUUUAUUCCUUAAUUCUUCUUAUUUUCAAGAGCUAAUUGAAGUUUAUGUUACUUGAAUAUUUUGGGGUUAAUGGAAAAUUUACUUUACUUCGAAGUUUAGCAAUAAUUGGUUGUUAUUUAUAUGUAUUUGAGGUUAUAAAUAGGAAUAUAGCAAAGAAUGUUAUUUGAGUAUUGAAGUUGAAAAAAGUUGAAUAUUGAAAUGGGUUUGAAAGAUAGAAACAUAUUAUUUGAAUUUGCUUGUGAUUAUAUGAUGUUAAACACUUAAAUUAAGGAAUUAGGGUUGAUUUCUCCAUUUUUAAGUAAUAAUUAUAAGCAAUUUUUGGACAAAUCUUACAUAGGUGCUAUAUUUGUAAUUCUGCCCAGAGUAGUGCUAAUUCUGUCAAAGGUUUUAUUGCCAGAUUUCAUUAUUAUGAGAUUUUAGAGAUGUUUUUGUCAAAGCUCUUAUUUUCAGAUUUUUAAAGAUUUGAAUGAAGUUAUAUGACAAGUGUUGAAUUUUAUAUAUUGGAAUAAAUGAUGUAUAUGGGUUGUAUAUGUAUAAGGUAUUGAUUUUAAGGAAGUGCAAGUGAUUUAAUGGAUUUGAUAAUGCAUGUUGCUUAGUUGAUGAAUCAAUAAAAAGAAUAAAAGUUGGAGAAUUGGAGGAGAGUAAAUAUAGAAGUUGAGGAGUUAAGUGGUGGAAUUGUAUUAGUUUAAUUGUCAAGUUUUAAUUUGAGUUAUUAUACCGUUAUUUCAGGUGGUGACGUGAAAGCUUAGAAUGACUCGUCAAUUUAGCCAGAUUUCUAUCUAUGGAUCUGUGAGUGAAAAAAUAUAAAUAUUUUUAAAAUAUUUAUGAAUUAAGUAUAUUAUCAAAGUAUGUGCAAUUAUGUGUUCGAAUUAUAUGGUUAUUAUGGAAAUAUCUUUUAUUAUAAUACAUGUGGGAUUUCAAAGAUUGUAUACGGUAUAUUGUGAAUUGGAAUAUAAGAUGUGAUUUUGAAAUCGACCAAAAAAAUACCCGUGAUUAUAUAUUUCUUCUAGUUCAUUGAGGGGUCUUGGCUGUGUUCUAUACUACACUAAGGGGCCGACUGGGGAUGAAGGGAUCGUGACCGUGUACAUAUAGUUCACUGAAGGGCAUUGGCCGUAUUCUAAAAUUGAUUAUCAGAGGUCAUGAGAUCCGCUUUCGUUCAUGGAGGGGGCCAAAGGCUCGUGGCAAUAGUACUUAGCCCGAGAGACGGAUUACAGAUUUUACUUAGAGGGUACAUUUUGGUAGAUCACAUGUGAUGUGAUGAAAUGAUGGUAUAAAUAUCAAUUGAUGAUUAUAUCAUGAUUAUGAGAUGAUAUUUACAGUAUUAUGAGAAUGUCUCAUUUUUUAUCUAUAAUUGUAUGAAGCUAUCAUAUGAAUUACUAAACGAUAUGAACUUGAUGUCUAUGUAUGAGAAAAAUGUUUAAAGGAGAAAAUAUGAUUAUUUUUGAACUCUUCUACUUACUGAGCUAUCAACUAAUGUUUUGCUAAAAUUAUUUUUACAGAUAGUAUUGGUCCUUGAUAGCUUGAGGAGCCUGGUGAUUUCAGAGUUAGAGUCACACGACAUGUUGAAGGAUAUGAGUCAAUUUGAUUAAACCAAGAAGUAAAGUUUUGAGCCCUUUGCACUAUGUUUUUAUAAACAUUUGAUUUUAUUACAUAUCUUGUAGUAACUCAUAGUGUGCCUUGGUGAUGGAGUUGACAUUUAGUCAGCCUCUAUCAUUGAUGCACGCCAAAUUUCGGGUCCACUAGGGUAAUUUGGGACGGGUCGUGUCAGAGUGGUAUCAAAGCAUUGUUUAUAAAGUUUUGAAAGUCUUCAUAGUUUAAACAUUAGCAUAUCAUUCAUUAUUCAGUGUGUAUGGUCACAUGUCGUGGUAGCAGAAAUCAUAGGUUCUCAAGCUCGAAUUUAUGGAACUGAAAAUGAUUGAAAAGCAUUUUUAUCAAAUCCAAAAAUGACUAGUAUGUAAGUAUGAUAUUUGCAAUGGUCUGAUGGUUGGAAAUGUUAUUAGUUGUUGGGUUGGAAUUAUGGUCUAUGUAACAUAUUAAGAGUUGAAUAGAUCAUGAUAUAUAGGAAAAUUUUUAGUUAUAGCUUGCACAAUAAAUACGGGGAAUUGAUAUAAUGUGUAUACUUGUGAUAAUUUGUAAAGGAUUUUAAUUAUUUUGGAGAGCUAAAUGACCUUUAGCGCUAUCGAAAAUCGUGAUGAAUUGUGGCUACUUGGUUGAGAUGAGAAUAGAAAGCAUGUUGGUGUGUACUUAUUCUAUAUGAUAAGAAUUUUGUGGAGGACAAAAUGAUAAUAUUAUGUAGAUUGUUGAUUAAUAAAAUACUAUACUUUAUUAUGAAUAUUACGCAUUGAGAAGAUUAACAUACAUCUGUACUUCAAGAAAAAUAUAGGGUGGGAUUAUGAUUGCCUUGACCAAUUAAACGAUGUGUUACAAAAUGAGAACGAUUAGUGAUAAAUGAGGUUGGAGAAGAAAAAUAAAUAAAUAAAUAAAUAAAAUAUAGGGAAGGAUUAAGAGUUCAAUUCAAGGAAAUAUAAUUUGAUAGGGAUAUAUAUUUGGGGACAUGUGUGGUCGGAAGUUAACGAGAAUAGAAAGAUAAGAGUAGGAAUUAGUGUUAAAUCACUGUGUAUAGGUUAUAUGCAAUAGUAGCUUGGGUUCUGUAUAAGUAUGUGUAUUUAUCGAAAGAAUGAGAAAGGAAAGAAAACAAUAAAGAGAGAUGCAUAGAUAUCCAUUAAGGUUGUUAAUUGGGCCUGCAAUGUUAUCGAUAUUCGAUCAUUAAAUAUGGGUACAAUGAUUUUCAAUUAGUAAGGGCCAACAAGAUAAGUACAAUGAAUCAUGUUGUUCAACUUGGGAGAUGAGACAUGAUUAAAUUUUGUGGCCAUAUGAUACGAUGAUGUUCACUUAAUAAGGUUAUUUUAUUAUGAGAGUCAUUGUCAAUAAUGAUAAACAAAAGAUAUGACAGUUUGAUGUAAAUAGAAUAACGUAAUAGUAUAAGUUAAAAUGUGAAUUGAUUUUCCUCUAGCCAUCAUUGGGUUUGUUGUGUUGGUUUAUAAUUUAUCGAGGACGACAUGUUAAAUUGGAGUUAGUAAGGACAUAUUAUCACGUUGUACUAUAAGGAAGAUGGGAUGUUAGUUAUGGUAAACAAGUUAGGUGGUAGAGAUGAUGCACAAUAAAAAAUUUAAAAAAAAAGAAAUAAAAGAAAAGAAAAGAAAAGGAAAUAGAGAGAGUCUAGGUGUUGUGUUUUUCUUUCUUUAUUUAAGAAAUGGGCAAGCUCAAGUUUCUUAACUUAGUACGGGUAAGCAUAUUUGGAGACGUGCAAAACUUCGAAUUAUCUCUACAGACAGAUUUAGGACAUGAAGGAAUUAAAUUGACAAUGAAACUUUGAAGCACGGAAAGAAACGAAUGAGAAAUGGAAGACGGCAGUAAUAAGUCGUGUUGUAUAUGGGCCUAAUUGAAAAGUGAAAUGAAAAAUUAGAAGAGGAGAAGAAGAUAAGUGGAAUAUGUAUAUGGGUAUUGCAGGGAGUGAAUAUUUAUAGAGGGAAAGAAAUGAAAAAUGUAAAAUGAAAAGAUGAGAAUAUCAUAUAUUGAUUCUUACGAAAGUUAUUGAAAAUAUGAUAAGGAAAGGAUGAACCUUGGGCCUAGUUAAAGGUUGUUGGGGAAAUCAUUUAAUAUUUUUUCUUUAUUUUCUAAUAUGUACGAAUUCUAGUGGAGUGAGUUUCGAGGACGAAAUUCUUUGAAGGUGGUGAGAUUGUUACACCCCACCCAUUUUUAGUCAAAGUCAAGGGAAGUAAUUGGUCAAAGUCAAAGUCAAUAAGGACUUAAGUUAAACAAAUGAUUCUUUUGGGGCUUAAUUUGUAAUUACAAGAAGUUUAGGGAUUUAGUUUCUAUUUACUGGAAUCAAAGGAGUAAAUGGUAUAUUAUAUGAAGAGUGAGGACUUGAUUUGCAAUUCUACCAUACUUAUCCAUUUAAACUUCAAACAUAUAUAUUAUUCUCUCAUUGCUAGGGAAAACAGACUGGAGAAGCAGAGAACAAAAUAUGAAAAAAAAAUGAACGAGAAAAAGGAAGAAGAAGAAAUGGGUGUUGGCUUUUAAAUAUUGAGGUUUUAUUUCUUAGUUCUUAUUUUCAAGAGGUAAUUGAAGUUUAUGUUACUUGAAUAUUUUGGGGUUUAUGGAAAAUUUACUUUAAUUCGAAGUUUAGCAAUAAUUAGUUGUUAUUGAUAUACAUUUGAGGUUAUAAAUAGGAAUAUAGCAAAGAAAU